AUUGAACGCUGGCGGCAGGCCUAACACAUGCAAGUCGAACGGCAGCACAGAAGAGCUUGCUCUUUGGGUGGCGAGUGGCGGACGGGUGAGUAAUGUCUGGGAAACUGCCCGAUGGAGGGGGAUAACUACUGGAAACGGUAGCUAAUACCGCAUAACGUCGCGAGACCAAAGUGGGGACCUUCGGGCCUCACACCAUCGGAUGUGCCCAGAUGGGAUUAGCUAGUAGGUGGGGUAAUGGCUCACCUAGGCGACGAUCCCUAGCUGGUCUGAGAGGAUGACCAGCCACACUGGAACUGAGACACGGUCCAGACUCCUACGGGAGGCAGCAGUGGGGAAUAUUGCACAAUGGGCGCAAGCCUGAUGCAGCCAUGCCGCGUGUAUGAAGAAGGCCUUCGGGUUGUAAAGUACUUUCAGCGGGGAGGAAGGCGGUGGAGUUAAUAACUUCACCGAUUGACGUUACCCGCAGAAGAAGCACCGGCUAACUCCGUGCCAGCCGCCGCCGUAA
rnacentral:rRNA from 1 species